rnacentral:rRNA from 1 species
CAGCCGCCGCGGUAAUACGUAGGGGGCUAGCGUUGUCCGGAAUCAUUGGGCGUAAAGCGCGUGUAGGCGGCUUGACAAGUCUGCUGUGAAAGUCCAGGGCUCAACCCUGGAAUGCCGGUGGAAACUGUCAAGCUAGAGUUCGGAAGGGGAGUGUGGAAUUCCUGGUGUAGCGGUGAAAUGCGCAGAUAUCAGGAGGAACACCAAUGGCGAAGGCAGCACUCUGGGACGUGACUGACGCUGAGACGCGAAAGCGUGGGGAGCAAACAGGAUUAGAUACCCCCGUAGUCCCUGUCUCUUAUAA